rnacentral:rRNA from 1 species
AUUGAACGCUGGUGGCAGGCUUAACACAUGCAAGUCGAGCGGAGUGAUGGUGCUUGCACUAUCACUUAGCGGCGGACGGGUGAGUAAUGCUUAGGAAUCUGCCUAUUAGUGGGGGACAACAUCUCGAAAGGGAUGCUAAUACCGCAUACGUCCUACGGGAGAAAGCAGGGGAUCACUUGUGACCUUGCGCUAAUAGAUGAGCCUAAGUCGGAUUAGCUAGUUGGGGGGGUAAAGGCCUACCAAGGCGACGAUCUGUAGCGGGUCUGAGAGGAUGAUCCGCCACACUGGGACUGAGACACGGCCCAGACUCCUACGGGAGGCAGCAGUGGGGAAUAUUGGACAAUGGGGGGAACCCUGAUCCAGCCAUGCCGCGUGUGUGAAGAAGGCCUUAUGGUUGUAAAGCACUUUAAGCGAGGAGGAGGCUCUUUUGGUUAAUACCCAGAAUGAGUGGACGUUACUCGCAGAAUAAGCACCGGCUAACUCUGUGCCAGCCGCCGCCGUAAAAC